GACAGGACAAUGCCAAAACCUCUAUAAAACUGUAGCCCUCUUAAUCAAAAGUCGUUUACAUGCAUGCUAUAUUAUGCAGCAUUUUGUUGCUGUUUUAUCACUGAUAACUAAACAAAGGAUUUAACACCUGUAGAACUUGCGGUUUUUCAUUAAAUCUAAGGUUAACUCAACAAUGA